UAAGGAAUAUUGGUCAAUGGACGGAAGUCUGAACCAGCCAUGCCGCGUGCAGGACGACUGCCCUAUGGGUUGUAAACUGCUUUUAUACGGGAACAAACCCCUAUACGUGUAUAGGGCUGAGUGUACUGUAGGAAUAAGGAUCGGCUAACUCCGUG
rnacentral:rRNA from 1 species